ACCCACGAUAAAGUCACCGACGAUAAAGUCACCCACGAUUACCUCACCCACGAUAAAAUCACCCAUGAUAACCUCACCCACUAUAACCUCACCCACGAUUACCUCACCCACGAUAAAAUCACCCACGACAACCUCACCCACGAUAACCUCACCCACAAUUACCUCACCCACGACAAAAUCAUCCACGAUAACCUCACCCACUAUAAAGUCACCCACGAUAACCUCACCUUUGAUAAAGUAACCCACGAUAAAAUCACCCACGAUUACCUCACCCACGAUAACCUCACCCACCAUAAAAUCACCCACGAUAACCUCACCCACGAUAACCUCACCCUCGAUAACCUCACCCACGAUAACCUCACCCUCGAUAACCUCACCCACGAUUACCUCACCCAAGAUAACCUCACCCACGAUAACCUUACCUACGAUUACCUCACCCACGAUAGCCUCACCCACGAUAAGAUCACCCACGAUAACGUCACCCACGAUAAAGUCACCCACGAUAAAAUCACCCAUGAUAACCUCACCCACAAUUACCUCACCCACGAUAAAAUCCCCCACGGUAACUUCAACCACGAUAACCUCACCCACGAUAACCUUACCCACGAUAACCUCACCUACGAUAACCUCACCCACCAUAAAGUCACCGACGAUAAAGUCACCCAUGAUUACCUCACCCACGAUACAAUCACGCACGAUAACCUCACCCACGAUAACCUCACCCAUAAUAAAAUCACCCACGAUAACCUCACCCACGAUAACCUCACCCACGAUAAAGUCACCCACGAUAAAAUCACCCAUGAUAAACUCACCCACGAUAAACUCAGCCACGAUUAACUCAGCCACGAUAACCUCACCCACGAUAACGUCACCCACGCUAACCUCACCCACGAUAACCUCACCCACGAUAACCUCACCCACGAUAACCUCACCCACGAUAAAGUCACCCACGAUAACCUCACCCACGAUAACCUCACCCACGAUAACCUCACCCACGAUAAACGUCACCCACGACUAAAGUCACCCACCAUAACCUCACCAACGAUAACCUCACCCACGAUAACCUCACCAACGAUAAACUGACCCACGAUAAAAUCACCCACGAUAACCUCACCCACUAUAAAGUCACCCAAGAUUACCUCACCCACGAUAAAAUCACCCACGAUAACCUCACCCACGAUAAAAUCACCCACGAUAACCUCACCCACGAUAAAAUCACCCACGAUAACCUCACCCACGAUAAACUCACCCACGAUAACCUCACCCACGAUAAAGUCACCCACGAUUACCUCACCCACGAUAAAAUCACCCACGAUAACCUCACCCACGAUUACCUCACCCACGAUAACCUCACCCACGAUAACCUCACCCACGAUAAACUCACCCACGAUAACCUCACCCCCGAUAACCUCA
rnacentral:lncRNA from 1 species